ensembl:snRNA U6 U6 spliceosomal RNA
GUGCUCGCUUCAGCAGCACAUAUACUAAAAUUGGAACGAUACAGAGAAGAUUAGCAUGGCCCCUGCGCAAGAAAACAUACACUAAAAGUAUGAGAACGAAAAUGAUUCU